UACGUAGGGCGCAAGCGUUAUCCGGAAUUAUUGGGCGUAAAGAGCUCGUAGGCGGCUUGUCGCGUCUGCCGUGAAAGUCCGGGGCUCAACUCCGGAUCUGCGGUGGGUACGGGCAGACUAGAGUGAUGUAGGGGAGACUGGAAUUCCUGGUGUAGCGGUGAAAUGCGCAGAUAUCAGGAGGAACACCGAUGGCGAAGGCAGGUCUCUGGGCUAUAACUGACGCUCAUGCACGAAAGCGUGGGGAGCAAACAGG
rnacentral:rRNA from 1 species